UACGUAGGGCGCAAGCGUUGUCCGGAAUUAUUGGGCGUAAAGAGCUCGUAGGCGGCCUGUCGCGUCGACCGUGAAAACCCGCAGCUCAACUGCGGGCUUGCGGUCGAUACGGGCAGGCUGGAGUUCGGUAGGGGAGACUGGAAUUCCUGGUGUAGCGGUGAAAUGCGCAGAUAUCAGGAGGAACACCGGUGGCGAAGGCGGGUCUCUGGGCCGAUACUGACGCUGAGGAGCGAAAGCGUGGGGAGCGAACAGG
rnacentral:rRNA from 1 species